rnacentral:tRNA from 1 species
CGGGGCGUAGCUUAGCCUGGUAGAGCGCCUGGUUUGGGACCAGGAGGUCGGAGGUUCGAAUCCUCUCGCCCCGA